GUUGAACGCUGGCGGCGUGCCUAAUACAUGCAAGUCGAACGCUGGAAAUCUAGCUUGCUAGAUUGAAGGAGUGGCGAACGGGUGAGUAAUACAUAAGCAACCUACCCACGAAGACUGGGAUAAUCUCUGGAAACGGGGACUAAUACCGGAUAGGUAAUCGGAAGGCAUCUUCUGAUUAUUAAAGGUUAAAAACACUGGUGGAUGGGCUUAUGGCGCAUUAGUUAGUUGGUGAGGUAACGGCCCACCAAGACGAUGAUGCGUAGCCGGCCUGAGAGGGUGAACGGCCACAUUGGGACUGAGACACGGCCCAGACUCCUACGGGAGGCAGCAGUAGGGAAUUUUCGGCAAUGGGGGAAACCCUGACCGAGCAACGCCGCGUGAGUGAUGACGGCCUUCGGGUUGUAAAGCUCUGUUGUAAGGGAAGAACGGUAGAUAGAGAAUAUCUAAAUGACGGUACCUUACCAGAAAGCCACGGCUAACUACGUG
rnacentral:rRNA from 1 species